rnacentral:rRNA from 1 species
GACGAACCGUGCGAACGUUGUUCGGAAUCACUGGGCUUAAAGGGCGCGUAGGCGGGCGGUCAAGUCAGAGGUGAAAUCCCACGGCUCAACCGUGGAAGUGCCCCUGAUACUGAUCGCCUCGAGGGAGGUAGGGGCGUGCGGAACUUCCGGUGGAGCGGUGAAAUGCGCAGAUAUCGGGAGGAACACCAAUGGCGAAGGCAGCUCGCUGGGACGGUACUGACGCUGAGACGCGAAAGCGUGGGGAGCAAACAGG